rnacentral:rRNA from 1 species
AUUGAACGCUGGCGGCAUGCUUUACACAUGCAAGUCGAACGGUAACAGGCCGCAAGGUGCUGACGAGUGGCGAACGGGUGAGUAAUGCAUCGGAACGUGCCCAGUCGUGGGGGAUAACUACUCGAAAGAGUAGCUAAUACCGCAUACGAUCUAUGGAUGAAAGCGGGGGACCGUAAGGCCUCGCGCGAUUGGAGCGGCCGAUGUCAGAUUAGGUAGUUGGUGGGGUAAAGGCUCACCAAGCCAACGAUCUGUAGCUGGUCUGAGAGGACGACCAGCCACACUGGGACUGAGACACGGCCCAGACUCCUACGGGAGGCAGCAGUGGGGAAUUUUGGACAAUGGGCGCAAGCCUGAUCCAGCAGUGCCGCGUGCAGGAAGAAGGCCUUCGGGUUGUAAACUGCUUUUGUACGGAACGAAACGGCUCUGGUUAAUACCCGGGGCUAAUGACGGUACCGGAAGAAUAAGCACCGGCUAACUACGUG